rnacentral:rRNA from 1 species
CACGUAGGGUGCGAGCGUUGUCCGGAAUUAUUGGGCGUAAAGAGCUCGUAGGCGGUGUGUCGCGUCGGCCGUGAAAACCUGCAGCUUAACUGUGGGCUUGCGGUCGAUACGGGCAUCACUGGAGUUCGGCAGGGGAGACUGGAAUUCCUGGUGUAGCGGUGAAAUGCGUUGAUAUCGGGAGGAACACCCAUGGCGAAGGCAGCAUACUGGCCGGCAUCUGACGCUGAGGCGCGAAAGCGUGGGUAGCAAACAGG